rnacentral:lncRNA from 1 species
AAUAUUUAAUAAUUUUUAUUUCUUAGAUCUUCAUCCAACGGUAUAGAUUUUUAAAAUCCGCUGGAUUCAGGUUCGGGUUUCGAAUUUUUGGUCGGUUAUGGAUAUGGGUAUGAAUUUUUAAAAUCCGUCGGAUUCGGAUCCAAGUUUGGAUUUUAAUUUGAUUUUCGGGUUCGGGUUCGGAUUUUUGAAAAAGAAAAGAAAAGGAAUACAAAUUCCCUAUUCCUCUUUUCAAUAUACAAAAAAUACGUACUAAAUACGGUGAGCCAUUCGCCUUGUUUAAACACUGUGAAUGGUUCACCGUGUUUAACUUAAUUAUCAUCCGCGUGGCGCUGACGUGGCGCUUGCGUGGCAGGUUUAGAGCCAUUUUUACAAAUUAAAUUUUAACAGAACUAUUUUUAAAAUAAAAAUUUGCCAGGGUGCAAAAUGCAAAAAAAGCCCUGUGUUGUGGUUUAAUUUGGUGGUGAGGUCUACAUUUUAUUAGAUAAAAUAGAGUUCCGUAAAAAUAUAUAGAAAUUUAUUUUUACGUUUUUAGAUAGAAUCGUAAAAAAUAUAUUAUAAUUAACUAAUUACGAUAUGCAUAAUAUAAUAUUACAUACUAAAAUAAAUAAAAUAUAUUUUUAUUGUACUUUUUCAAUGUGUGUAAUUUUGAAAAUUAAAUAUCAAAUUUAGAAAAUAG